rnacentral:rRNA from 1 species
CCUACGGGCGGCUGCAGUGGGGAAUAUUGGACAAUGGGGGCAACCCUGAUCCAGCCAUGCCGCGUGUGUGAAGAAGGCCCUCGGGUUGUAAAGCACUUUCAGUGAGGAAGAACGCCUGGUGGUUAAUACCCAUCAGGAAAGACAUCACUCACAGAAGAAGCACCGGCUAACUCCGUGCCAGCAGCCGCGGUAAUACGGAGGGUGCGAGCGUUAAUCGGAAUUACUGGGCGUAAAGCGCGCGUAGGUGGCUUGAUAAGCCGGUUGUGAAAGCCCCGGGCUCAACCUGGGAACGGCAUCCGGAACUGUCAAGCUAGAGGGCAGGAGAGGAAGGUAGAAUUCCCGGUGUAGCGGUGAAAUGCGUAGAGAUCGGGAGGAAUACCAGUGGCGAAGGCGGCCUUCUGGACUGACACUGACACUGAGGUGCGAAAGCGUGGGUAGCAAACAGGAUUAGAUACCCUAGUAGUC